UCCGUAGGGCGCAAGCGUUGUCCGGAAUUAUUGGGCGUAAAGAGCUCGUAGGCGGCUUGUCACGUCGGGUGUGAAAGCCCGGGGCUUAACCCCGGGUCUGCAUUCGAUACGGGCUGGCUAGAGUGUGGUAGGGGAGAUCGGAAUUCCUGGUGUAGCGGUGAAAUGCGCAGAUAUCAGGAGGAACACCGGUGGCGAAGGCGGAUCUCUGGGCCAUUACUGACGCUGAGGAGCGAAAGCGUGGGGAGCGAACAGG
rnacentral:rRNA from 1 species